rnacentral:lncRNA from 1 species
UCCAUCAAGUGCUUUACGGCUUCAUAUUGAUUGUUCUUGACUCCAAGAUGCAGAACUGUCUCUCCGUGUAAUGUUCUAAUCUCAGAGGACUCAAGGUUCACAGAGAGUAUUUCGUCAAUAAUGUUUACCCUGCCUUUGAUGGUAGCCCAAUGCAGUGGUGUUCGACCUUCAUUGUCUUGCGAAGAAGAAAGGUCAGGAUCCAUCUUUAGCAGCUCUCUGGUUAUCUCUAGAUGGCCUUUGCUGCUACACAGGGUCAACGGUGUACGGCCGUUGGGGUCUUUUUUCCAUGUGAAUUCUGGCCGCGCCUCUAGAAGUUCGUUCACAAUUUCUACAAGGUAUGCAUGAUAGGAACUCGGUCAUGGCUACUAGAAAAGCCAAGAUGCCAAAUUUUGACGGCGAUGCGGAUAUCAAUACGGUACAACAACAGCUAAAUAACGUCGGUGAUGCCUAAAUUGAUAACUGUUUAACAAAGGGAAUGACUCUUUCUAUGUUUUAAUCGUGUUCAAUUUUUACUUAAUUUAGCUUUAUAUGGUGUUUGAUUAAAGGAUCGUUUCAUAUUUUAGAUCACUAUCAUGUAACAUACUUGGAAGUUAAAAGAGAAGUUUAUGGAUGCCUGUAUAGAAGACUUUUCACGUAUCUUUGUAGUAAGUAUAUUUUCUUAAAAUUGUUGUGGACAACGACUUCUGAAAUGGUAAAUGAUCAUAGUAUAAUGUUGUUUAGUACAGCGGCUUCCCCUCCCCAUAAAAAAUCUCCUCCAUUUUUUAAGUCUUUUCAAUAUUGAAACCUAAAUUUUCAUUCCUCACUCCAAUACAAGAAAUAUUAUGUAUAAUAUUGUGUAAAACUUAUACUGUGGUAAGAAAAAUUUUCUUUGUGUAAUGAAAAACAAAAAUAUGAAUUGAAGAGGUCUUAUAUCAAAUAAUGUUGAAUUAAAACUAUGUACUCUUUAAAACACAUCCAAAGGAAAAAGAGUAUUGAUAUUUAAAUCGAAGAUUCUAACACGCUAACAACAAACAACUAUAAAAUCAUAUAGGGUUAUAGGAUUAAGUUAGAAAUCAGCAUUCUUUUUCAUUUAACACUAACAACAUUAUAACACGUGAGAAGACAUAGAGGCCCACCGUUAGAUUUAUUUGGUCAAACUUUGGUAUAAAAAUACAAAUUAUUAAACCUAACAGUUACCACCACGAAGUUAGCAAAAGUACCUAAAUGCCCAGCUGAAGCUGCAACAUGAAGAGAAGUGGUCAAUCCAUCAUCCAUCUCGAGCAGCGACACCGAUGGAUAGUUGAGCAGCUGCUUGACAACAUCAAGCCUCCCUCUCUCACACGCCACAUAAAGCGCACUCUCCUUGUUUCUAUUCAUCUUGUGAACCACCCAAGAAUCAGUCUCCAGAAAGAGCCUCACAAUGUGUAGCCUCCCUUCUCUGCAUGCUUCAUGCACUGGAGUCUCCAAUUUUUCAUUCGUUGCCGCCAACAUCUCUGGACACAACUUCAAAAUCUCCAACGCCAACUCUUCGUGCCCAUAACGUGCUGCUAAGUGUAGGACUGUGUUCAAAGAUCCAGGAACAGUUUGUUUGAUUAUUUCCUCAUCUUUUUGAACCAGAUUCAGAAAAUUUGGUGUCUCCCCUUUGAGUACGGUCUCAAAGAGGCGUUCGUCCAUUUCUCAAUAACAGAAGUUGCAGCUAGCGAGCUACCGGGAAUUGGGUUGAUGAGAGGAGAAUUUAAAUAUUUAAUUAUAAAGAGACAGCAAGGCUUUGUUUUGACUUCGACAGACUACGAAAUUUCCCUGUCAUUGCAUAGGCACUAGUAGUGGGGUCUUUUUAGAUUUCUCCGAAAAACAAAUAACUUUAAUAUCUAAACAGGAAAAAUCAAAAUUUCAGGCUUGACUACUGAGUCACUGUUCGCAAUUGAGACGCGAACAAAUGAGAGGAGGCACCAUGAAAUUUCUCCAUGAUUGCACACGUUUUAAUUUAGGAGUCAUCUUAAUUUUGUCAUGAUCCAACCUAAACCUGACAAGAUAUCAUCCACUUUGGGCCUUAACAAAAGCUGCAUGGUUUUGUUUUCAAGGUGUCCAUACAUCCCAAAACGCGUCUUGCCAAUUAAGGUGUGGAUCACCCCUUAUAAAAUCAGCAUCUCUCUCAUGUUUUGCCGAUGUGGGAUUCACCUAGGAUGUUACAUUUCGCUCAAGAGAAUACGAGGAGCUGCUUUGAUACCAUAAUGUCAUGACCCAACCUAAACCUGGCAAGAUAUUGUCUGCUUUGGGCCUUAAUAAGACCCGCAUGGUUUUGUUUCCAAGGCAUCCAUACACACCAAAAUGUGUCUUGCCAAUUAAGGUAUGGAUCACCCCUUAUAAACUCAGCAUCUCUAUCGUGCCUUACCGAUGUGGAAUUUGCCUAGGAUGUUACAAAUUUCGUUAGAAAGUAAUAUUUUACAUAUCUCUAGUCCUACAUUUAUAAUAUAGUCAAUAGUGAACCGGAAUAACAAAAAGAGUAGUGCAAUUAGCACCCUAAAAAUCCUCAGAAAAAUCACUUUUAAGGGUAUUUUCGAAAAUGCACAUUAAUUUUUCAAUCAAAUAAUAUAUUUCUUUGUCUUUCUCACUCUAACUCUUUUUCUCUCUCUAUAUCUAAGAUCUCAAACUCUGUACACUAUUUACAAGUAUUUGGUUUUUUAUCUACCACCAUCUUUUUUGUUGCUUGUUUUCUUUAUAAACAAAACCUAAUAUUGUUUCUUUAUUUAGUUUCUUAAGAUUUGAAAAUUCACCAAACAUACACAAGUUUAAUGGUUUCCACUCUCUUAAAUGGGAAUAUUGAAAAUAAAUAUGGCUAUAAUAAGGAUAUGCAAAAUUAAGGAGCUAGCUUUUUUAUUUUAUUUUUUACAAAUGCAAGUUUUACAAUCACAGAGAAGAUAUAUCUAAAUGGGGUGUAAAUAGUUUUAGAUAAGAAAGAGAUUAUGCCUUAGUUAAGGAUAAAUAAAUAAAAAUAAAUAAAAAUAAUUUUAUAAAGUAUUAUGGGUGUCAAUAGCACCACGUAUAAUAAAAUUUCAGACUUGAAUAUUCUUGAGAGACACCAUUCACAUUGUGCGGCCACAUAUGUUUUUUGUUCACUCUUAACUUUUAAAAUGAAAAAAAAAAUCUAUUAACUGAUUGUAUAUAAAUGCCUUCAAUGACUCAGAUUGAAAACAUUUGACAUGGAUAGCAAUCAUAUUGUAUUUGCUUCAACUAGUUAAUUAUAAGUUUAGCGUAUUCAGGUUUUGAAAUCUCUUUAAGCCACUUUUUUAUUUGUGACUCAUGAUUCACCAUUUUUAUUCAUGUCAAAUCAACCAGUUAACGACACAAAACUAUUUAAAAAAAUUAUUUUUUAUAGUUUUAUUUCUUGUUUAACUUUUGAAAGUGUAGUUAAGACUGUUUUGUAGUAAUCGCUGAUGUAAAAGAGUUUUUAUUUGUUAUUUUAUUGUUCAAUUUGUUUUUAGGUGGUAUUGUAUUUCACUUGUUAAAUUAAAUUUAGAUUGGUGUUAAACGAAUUGGAUCCAAUGAUUAAUGGGUUAAAUAAAGUAAUCCUCUCUAAUAUUGUAAGGUAGUCAAAUUAGUUGUAAUGAUUCAGGUUAAAAUAUAAAACAUAUAUAAUAAUCACGUCGUGUAUGUCUAAUGACAGAAAUGAGUUAGAGAUUGUCAACCCGAAACCAACGCGAUUGGAAAAAUCAACACAAAAAUAAAAAUGGAAGCCCAAUUUGAACUCAAUUAGUGUUUUAAAAGAAAUGCAGACCUAAACACCAUGCAGAGCUGACUCGUUAGGAAUCAUUUGUCAUCCUUAGUAAUAAUGACAAUGAAGAGAAAAUAUAUAUAUAUAUAUAUAUACACACACACACAUACGUACAUACAUACAUAUACUCUAAUUUAGAAUUUUAAAGUGCAAAAAAGUUUAAGAAAAGAUAUAAACCGCAUGGUCUUUAAGUUUCAAAUUUCUUAAACACCAUAAUUUUAAAGUUUUAUCAAAAUUUCCAUCACUUUAAAAUUCUAAAUAAGAUCGGGACCAAUAUUUACAAGCUUUUUAUUAUACAAAUAGUAAAUUAAAUUAACUUAACUUAUAAGCCAACUAAUGCUUAUCAUAUACUUUAAUACUGUAACUUUUAAUUAAAUUACAAUUGCUCAAAUUUAAAACCAAAUAUGACUUUAAGAUUUUUGCUAUGACUCCACAAACUCGGAGCCACUGUGAAGUCAUGGACUUAGAGAAGAUGAACGACACCAUUUAGCGAAAUGUCUUCAAUUCGACAAAUGAUGAAAAAAAAAGGGUCCUCGACUUGGAAUUAACCCUUAAACUAAAAUUAUGUAAAGUUUCUUUUUUUCUUUUUUUUUUCUUUUUUGGCCAUUGGAAAAAUGAAAAAGAGAAGGGAAUAUAUAUAUAUCGAAAUGUCCUUAAUUUCAUGACUAACGAAAAUAAUGUUCGGAAUUUGAUGAAUGUUGAAACAUGUAUCCUCGUGCAAAAAUUAACCUGAAACUUAUAAGAAACUUACUCUUUGAUUUUUAGAAUUGCCAUCUUUCUGGAGGCAAUUAAUUCCGCUAUCCCAUCGAAAUAUCGUCUCCCUCUAAUAGUUAGUUGAAGAUGAUUACGCUUUUGCGUAUUUAUCUUUCCUAGGCUCAUCAUGUCAUUUUCAUAUAAUUAAAUUAGAGAAUGCACCAGUCACCAUCCGAGAAUGAAUAUGAGAAACUACCUUUGCGGACUUAUUAAAUUACUAAAGAAACGGGGUGUACGUAGGAACUGGCCUACAAGUCGUAGCAAGAGUAGGCCCCGAGUGAAUAUUAUUGAACAAGAAAGUCAGAAAAAUACAGCUACGCCAUUCGCCCGUAACCUGAAUCUUGGUGACGAACGACCUGACUUCAUAACUCAUCGAGUCUUUUUUUUUUUUUUUAAUUUCCCUUGAAAAAAUUCUCUAUCCAUUUUCUUUAUUUAUUUAUUGGGCUGACCUUGCUCUGCUUCGAGCCCAAUUUGUUGGCAUUAGAAAAAGCAUAAUUUCUCAGACCUUUGUUGUCGUUCCGAAAUCAAAUCAGCCUAUACCUACCCCAGCUGCAGGUCAGCUAAAAUUCAUUAUUAGCUCACAAGCAGUAUCCCUAAGCAAAGCACGAAGCUGACCUUCCUGAUCAUCCGAUUUAUUGCAUUUACUUGUACGCCAAGCUUCAGUAAGUAUAUGACCAUCUACGUCAAGCCAAAAGACAGAGGGAAGCAAAAGAGAGAGAGGAGAAAAAAGAAAAAGAAAACAUUAAUUUCAGCUAUAGAGUCGACCUGAAUGCCAAAUUAAUGAAAUACGGCUAGAACUAAGAACUUACACUAGUAAACUUUCCGGCAGUUGCGAGAUGUAAGAUUGUGUUGCCAUCAUUAUCUGGCGUGUUCACAAGUUUUGUGGUGUUCAAAGUCUCCAUCAAGUGCUUUACGGCUUCAUAUUGAUUGUUCUUGACUCCAAGAUGCAGAACUGUCUCUCCGUGUAAUGUUCUAAUCUCAGAGGACUCAAGGUUCACAGAGAGUAUUUCGUCAAUAAUGUUUACCCUGCCUUUGAUGGUAGCCCAAUGCAGUGGUGUUCGACCUUCAUUGUCUUGCGAAGAAGAAAGGUCAGGAUCCAUCUUUAGCAGCUCUCCGGUUAUCUCUAGAUGGCCUUUGCUGCUACACAGGGUCAACGGUGUACGGCCGUUGGGGUCUUUUUUCCAUGUGAAUUCUGGCCGCGCCUCUAGAAGUUCGUUCACAAU